UCCCCAGUGGCUCAGUGGAAAAGAAUUUACCUGCAAUGUAGAAGACCUGGGUUCAAUUCCUGGGUUGGGAA
rnacentral:tRNA from 1 species